rnacentral:lncRNA from 1 species
UAAGAAGCUGAUUCAGUUUCUAGACUCUCUUAACCAUUGUGUACUAUACGAUGAUUUUUUUUUUCAAACAAACUUUUUGUUCCAAUCUGGAAGCAAGAAAAAUCCUGUCUUCUGAGACUUUGGGGUAGUAGUUUUGUAGAGUAACCUGAUGCAGAGGCAGACGGGCUUCUUUGAAGCAUUACUGCAACAUUUGCUAACAGAGAGCAAGGAUAAAACAAUAGGAACACCCCAGCAAGAUGCAUUUGUUCUGUUUAUGCUUCAGCAUGUGCUCAUGUGGCAUUUGACAAGUACAGGAGACUUCAAAGAUGAUCAGCAAAUGGAAUCCAUGAAGAUUGGCCUCUACCCUCUCUCCACUGGAAGUGCUUGCUGUGUAAGCCACUGCAGUUUGUCUCUCUCUCCCCUGAAUGACGUGUAACUCUUACAGUGAGGUCCCUGUGAUUCUCGUCCGAUACUGAAACUGCUGAGAGCAGCUGGAGGAGCAAGGGCAUUUUGAUUGCCCCAUGCUGUAGAUCGAAGCCUACUUGUUAAUUACAGUGUAUUAACUGAAACCAU